rnacentral:lncRNA from 1 species
CAGGGUCCCACAAUCUUUGCAUCAGGUGUCUUGCAUGCUUUUUAAGUGUUAAAAUAAAACCUUCAUGCUCCCAUCCUGGAUAGAUUUUCAAUUCUUCUUAUUCCAACAAAUGGUAAAAUAGAUUUCUUAAUCUGUCCCUGUGUCUUGAGAGUCAGGCCCGACUGACAGGCUGAGCGCUGCUCCGGUCCACAAGAGUCCUCAGUCACAGCAGCUGGGAGAGCUCUCUGGCAAAUGUGCAAACGUGCAGGUGUACAUUUGCAAAUCGUUGCUUGAUGUACAUAAGAAUCUGGAAUGUAGAGAACACGCCAAAUCAGCCCGCUGUAGACAGGCAGGUCUGCGCAUGCCCUACCGAGGUCCUGAGUCCCACAGAAGAUGCCAAAUCACCCUGCUGCAGACAGGUAGGUCUGCUCACACCCCACCGAGGUCUCCAGAUGUGUGGAAUAAGCCGAAUCAGCCCGCUGCAGACAGGAAGGUCUGUGCAUGCCCUACUGAGGUCCUGAGUCCCGCGGAAGACACCGAAUCACCCCGCUGCAGACAGGCAGCCACCUGGUUCCACACUACAAAGAGGCAGAGGACACCAGACCACCAGACCAAGGUACUGCGUCCUGCUGCUCCCGGCCCAGAGGUAGGGGCUUCUGAGCCCCCAUGCCACUGCUCCUGGCCCAGAGGAAGGGGCUUCCAGGCCACCAUCGCUCUCACUGCUCCCAGCCCACAGGAAAGGGCCUUUGGGUCACCAUCCCUACCACUGCUCCUGGCCCCUGUCCCACCUCUCCCAGCUCAGAGGAGGUAAUCCAUGCAGGGGCUAACAGCCCCCCGUGUGAGUUGAAAUGAGAAAACAUGUAAAUAAGUCUCAAAACCAGACUUCCAGAUCACCUACAGCAACCACAAAGGGAAAUGAGAUGGAACACUUUGAUACUCAACCACCUGGACCCACUGAACUGGCAACAAAAGGGGAUCUGGAAAAAAUGAAAUCAGAAAUAAUUUCUCAGAUAACAGGAGAAAUUGUGCCCCUAGUGCAAGACAUGAUUAAUAAAUCUAGAGAGGAGCUCAGGAACAUGAUGGAAUCCCAACACAGGAAACAAAUGGAAUCCAUAAAACAGAUGCAAAUAGAUUUCCAGGAGAUGAAAAAUUCCAUUGAAAGUCUACAUAGCAGAAUGAGCCAAUGUGAGGACAGAAUUUCAGAUAUAGAAGAUAAGAUUGCAAUUAGUGACCAGGAAAAGAAAAAUUGCUUCAAAAUUAUAAGGGAACAUAAGAAAUCAAACCAAAAGCUGCUAGAUGAUGCAAAGGAGAAUAACAUAAGACUGAUUGGAGUCAAUGAAGAAACAGGAGAGAGUGGAGAUGACAUAAAAAAUCUCUUCACAGAAAUAAUGGCAGAAAACUUCCCAAGCAGGGGAAAAGAGCUUGACAUACAGAUAAGUGAGGCAUAUAGGACUCCAAAUAGCC